GGUCUAGUGGUGGAAUUGGUAUACACACAACACUUAAAAUGUUGCGCCGCAAGGCAUGUGGGUUCGAGUCCCACCUGGACCA
rnacentral:tRNA from 1 species